UAAUCUUUCUCCUAUCCCCCCUAUUCCUUCUUCCACACACCUCUUGUUUCUCCAUGUUUCUCUCAUGCUAUAUAUUACUUCACCCUAUAUAGAGAUUGCUGAAGGAACGUUCAAACUAAUACUCUUUUAAGUUAUAUCAUCUCGGUCAGCUAUAAUCAACAAUCUCUGGUGAGAUUUGCAUUCAAAUUUCUUUCCUAUAAGUGCUAAGGAAUAGUGUAAAAUUUCUGCUAUUGUACAGGAUGAGCUCGAUUCAAUGUUGUAGCUUGGAAAAGAAGGAUGAAGAAAGGUUGGUCUGACGAAGUUUGGUAUAUGGUUCCACUGGCAGUUUGGUGGUGCAUUUGGAAAUGAAGAAGUUGUAGAUUUUAGAGGUUACAACAUUCCCUUGUCAGGAUAUUAAGUUUCUUUCAUUGAGGCUUUUAUACAGCAGGAGUCAAGUAUUAGGUUCCCUGAGAUACUGGCUUGUAUAUGUAUAUAAAUUAAUUAAUGAUAGUUUCAGGUCAUGAGUUUUUGUUCUU